rnacentral:rRNA from 1 species
GACGAACGCUGGCGGCGUGCUUAACACAUGCAAGUCGAACGGAAAGGCCCUGCUUUUGUGGGGUGCUCGAGUGGCGAACGGGUGAGUAACACGUGAGUAACCUGCCCUUGACUUUGGGAUAACUUCAGGAAACUGGGGCUAAUACCGGAUAGGAGCUCCUGCUGCAUGGUGGGGGUUGGAACGUUUCGGCGGUUGGGGAUGGACUCGCGGCUUAUCAGCUUGUUGGUGGGGUAGUGGCUUACCAAGGCUUUGACGGGUAGCCGGCCUGAGAGGGUGACCGGCCACAAUGGGACUGAGAGACGGAGCAGAGUCGUACGGGAGACAGCAGGGGGGAAUAUUGCACAGUGGGCGGAAGCGUGAUGAAGAGGCCCCGCGUGUGGGAUGACGGUCUUCGGGGUGUGAACCGCAUUAGCCUGUGACGAAGCGGGAGUGACGGUAAUGGGAGAAGAAGCACCGGCUAACUACGUG